GUCGGUCGUAGAGUAGAAGUUAGUCCGGUGAUCUCAGUUUUUAUAAAGUUAUAAUUCAAGAAUCAGGUGUUACCCAUCACUAAGGGCGAAAACUCUGCUCUAGUGAACUGUAAUUUCAAUUACAAAGCGUCCAGCGGACGCCGUUUGUACGAGCUACAAGCUAGCCAUCGCAUUCCGCCAUCUUGGCGCAUUUAAGGCGCACGUGGUACCAUACCGAAGAGGACCUCGCCACGGCCCGCCAGUGACUGGUAGACAAACGGGGACAGAGGAAGACCGGCCUGCCUGCGUCCGCUCGCGGAUGAUCGGGUAGAGUACCGAGAAAACCGACGCCCUCCCCCGCAACUUUAUUUCGGCCUACCUUUGUAGCGAGGAUCCCCGGUGACGCAACGGUUAUAAGACGUUAGGACCUAUCGACAUCUAGUACGCUAGUUGUUGUGCUGCCAAUUCAUCGCACGGAAACGGUGCGUCCCGGUUGACGAACCGCAACGAUCGAAUUGAAAACCCCUGCGCAGGUAUGUCCGUUCCAUGGCCAUGGUUAAACACACACGCACACCCUUUCCCUACACUUCACACUAUCACGGAAAAAUGAAUCAAUAUAAGCAAGAAUGAAUUCAACAUAACUUACCGUUCAUUACUUUUAUUUCAUACUCCAAGAGCCCUGCGGUUAUUGUGUCCGCCCAGGAACUUCUUGCUGUCAGUUCACUUCGCUUUACGUUCACCUUGACUCAAGUACGUAUACGUUGCGAUCACUGCGGUCAUUCUGCGAGUUUGCCUAGGUUCACUUCUAUGUAGUUGCGACCAUCUAUUUACGUUAGCUCAUAACAACCGUUGAAAAUCCCUAGAGAUUAGCACUCAUA